rnacentral:lncRNA from 1 species
GUUUUGACAAAAAAUAUCCUGCUUAAUAUGAUCGAAUAUCUAUAAUAUUCAAUCAUCAUCAUCAUAUUUUACUUCAAUCAAUGCUGGAUAUAUAUGCCUCCUUUCUUUCCAGAUAUAUCUUAUGCGAUCUGCAUCUACUGGUAAUCGAUUACUUUUCUUAUAUAAUCUCUCCAUCAUUUGUAUUGCUGGCUAGGAUAUCCUUCCCUUGCCUUGGUUGCCAAUCUAAUUUUCUUUGUCCAUUGGUUAUCUGUGUAUCUUGCUAUAUGUCCUGCCCGAUGCCACUUACUACUUCGGUUAGGCUUAAUGACCACGUUUCAUUCGCAUCUUUCAUAUUAAAGGAUUUUUAACUUUUUUUAAUAAAAAGUAACUAAAAUAAAAUUUUUCUUUGUUGACCUAAGUAGGAAUUGA